rnacentral:lncRNA from 1 species
AAAAUAACCCCCCUAGUCCUGGAGAGCAUAACACUACAACUAGCAAAAUAACCCCCCCUAGUCCUAGAGAGCAUAACACUACAACUAGCAACACAACUAACCCUAUUACCCCUAAAAAUCCUCCCCAGACCAGUAGCACGACAGUCUUACGUAAAACCUCUCCAUUAACAACUACCUCGGGCCAAUCUAACCCCCCAGUUGCCCCUACUGAGAGAGCAACAAGCAAGUAUCAGGCUGCUACGGGCCAAACGGUCAGUCAUAAGAACACAGAGAAUACGGAGGGAGUCCCAGGAUGGGGGAUCGCUCUAUUGGUACUGGCUGCCCUGAUCUUGUUAAUCCUCCUUAUUCUCCUAAUACUGCUGCUAGUGUGGUUGUGCUGUAGGCAGAGAUAUGGAAGCUUCAGCCCAUAUGACCAGAUCAACCACGGGGCAGACAUCCAAAUGUACUCCACACACAGCCGCUUCAACGUGCCCAAUGGCAAGCCUAAUGACGAAAUGGGAGAAUCAUUGAAAAACCAAACAGGGAUGUAUGUGGUGAACGAGUACUGACACACAGAAGCUCCAGUCAAUUGGGUAAGAAGACCAUCUGAAAUGGCCUUAUGAAGUAAUAUGCAUGGGAGCAAUGACAAUUCUGUACAAAUGGUUCAAUUAUCUCUGAAGUAUCUGAAUGAAGAUCAUGGAGUUGGCUCACUGAUUGUAAUUUCAACCUGUAUUUAUUCAAAUCAAAUCACAUUUAUUUAUAAAGCCCUUUUUACAUCAGCCGAAGUCACAAAGUGCUAUACAGAAACCCAGCCUAAAACCCCAAACAGCAAGCAAUGCAGAUGUCCUAAUGUUAUUUUAUUCCUAAUGCUUUUACCAGUGGAGGUUGCUGACGGGAGGACGGCUCAUAGUAAUAGCUGGAAUGGAGUCAAUGUAAUGGUAUCAAACACAUCAAACACCUGGUUUCCAUGUGGUUGUUACCAUUCCAUUCUAUUAUUCUGUAUGUUAAUCUGAGACACUCCAUUUAGUAUAUGUUACGCCUCCCCGACCAACCUCCCUACUUUAGAUUCUGUCUAAAGUAACCAGGCCAUUGAAAGGUAUCAUAUGUCUUGAUGUGCUCAGAAAUAUGUAAAGUAUGUUUUGAAUGGCUCUGAGGCCAGGCUGGCCAUUUUGGCUUCAUUGUGGCAAUACUUUGAGUUGUAUUUUCAGUCUUUACUGAAGGCAAGCUUAACCUUGGUAAAAAAGAAAGCUGAUCCUAGAUCAGUAAAUGGGGUCAACAUAUGUAUCCUGCAAUUAACAUUUAAGAAGAAUGAGUAGGGGUGCAAUACCCAAUCAGGUACAGUUAACAAGAAUUUCAUUGUUUUCAAAGACUAUAAAUCAAACCUUUUGACUUGGGCUGAGAGAUCCAGAUCUAAUUCCCUACCUCUGGAUAAGACAUGUUUUGAGAUAGGAUACUAGCAUGCCAAAAAAGUUAACUAUUCCACAAACCCAACCGAGUGAGUAAAACACCAAUAUUAUGUAUAUUUGACAAUCUGAUUAAAUAAAUCCACCAUUAUUAAUCAAAUCUGUGAGAUGAAACUAUCUGUAAACAUUUGAAGUGAUCGUGUAUUGGCGCUUUAAACUUUGCAUAAAAAGAAAUCUAAAUCAUUUUUAGAUUAAAUAUUUGUAAAUAAUAAAGUUUGAGUUAGAUUUUUAUGGGCAGAAGUGGUUUGGAUGUAUUCAUGGUUUGUAAAAGAGUUGGAUGAUUCUGUUCAUCAGGAGAACUGAAGAUAGGGCAGAACAGACACACCUCUGUUUGUAUCUAAGCCUGCCCUCAUCCCCCUGGCGUUCUUUUUCUCUUUUAUUCUUUGUGUGAAAAGAACAAGUAAAUAGCUAUCUAGAUAACGUGCUUUACAGUUGGGCUGGGUGUGGCGGUGUGAUAAAGAAUAAGGUAUUGUAUUAAAUUACGAAAUGAGUCCGACUCCAUAAAUUUACGAAUUACUCAAACUUUGUCCAUUAUAUGCAAGUCAGUGUGUAUUAAAAAGGCAACACCUCUUUCUGCUAUUUGGGCCAAUGGGCUAGGUUUAACAUAAAUAUUUGACAUAUGGAUGUCCUGGUAACAGAUACAUAACAUUCAUGAUAACCAGCUACCAAGUGACAUUGAGAAUUGAAGACUUACAUUUUUCAAGGUGUGCAGUACAAAUCGCAUUCUUAUCCAAAAUGCAUAAGGUGUAUAUGUCCAUUCCUCUCCAUAUCCCCUACCUUUGUAGUCUGUAUUAGAUAUGUCUUUCUACAGUUGCAUUGUGUAUUUUUCCAGGAAAACAUCACAGUGGUUGCUGUUACUAAUACUGUUCAGCAGGAAGAUAACCAAUCAGAGAGAAACUUUCAACCAAAACAAAUAAGAUCAGUUCUUAUUGUUUCUGACACACUGAGGUCAUUGUUUGAUUAUGAUAUGAUUUAUCGCUUGGCUGGGCUUAAAAAUCUAUUAACCAAAAAGACUAAAAGGGCGAAGUCAGAAUGCAAUCUUAAGUCAUUUGCUAACGGUGUAACCAAACAUUAUUCAAGCAUGUAGAUGUACAUAGUGAUAGAACCAUACACCCGUGCAAGGUUUCUUUAGCCAACAGUCAACCUAUUCAAAUAAACUCAGCAAAAAAAGAAA